rnacentral:misc_RNA from 1 species
GAAAUGCGAUACGUAGUGUGAAUUGCAGAAUUCAGUGAAUCAUCGAAAUCUUGAACGCACCUUGCGCUUGUGGUCACCCACAAGCAUGCCUGUUUGAGUGUCGUUUAUCUUCUCACCAAUAAAAAACUUGCUUUUUUAGCUGGUGGAACUGAGCAUUUGUCCGCAACAGGACAAUUGCUUGAAAUGGAGGGGGGACUUUGAAGGCGGCACUGAGUGCUUACCACGGCUCCGCGGACCUCCUGGAUGUGCUAACAUGCCUGUCAUGAUUCUCAUCCGAUUGGACUGCAACAAGGAGCUGAGGUCCUCAGCUUUGUCCCUUUGCCCCAAACCAAAAGGAGCAAUUCACUUGCUCCCCAACUUCAAAUCUGCGACCUCAAAUCAGGUAGGGCUACCCGCUGAAUUUAA